GACGAACGCUGGCGGCGUGCCUAAUACAUGCAAGUUGAGCGCUGAAGGUUGGUACUUGUACCAACUGGAUGAGCAGCGAACGGGUGAGUAACGCGUGGGGAAUCUGCCUUUGAGCGGGGGACAACAUUUGGAAACGAAUGCUAAUACCGCAUAAAAACUUUAAACACAAGUUUUAAGUGUGAAAGAUGCAAUUGCAUCACUCAAAGAUGAUCCCGCGUUGUAUUAGCUAGUUGGUGAGGUAAAGGCUCACCAAGGCGAUGAUACAUAGCCGACCUGAGAGGGUGAUCGGCCACAUUGGGACUGAGACACGGCCCAAACUCCUACGGGAGGCAGCAGUAGGGAAUCUUCGGCAAUGGACGAAAGUCUGACCGAGCAACGCCGCGUGAGUGAAGAAGGUUUUCGGAUCGUAAAACUCUGUUGGUAGAGAAGAACGUUGGUGAGAGUGGAAAGCUCAUCAAGUGACGGUAACUACCCAGAAAGGGACGGCUAACUACGUG
rnacentral:rRNA from 1 species